rnacentral:rRNA from 1 species
AUUGAACGCUGGCGGCAUGCUUUACACAUGCAAGUCGAACGGACCUAGGGGCUUGCUCCUGAGUUAGUGGCGAACGGGUGAGUAAUGCAUCGGAACGUACCGUGUAAUGGGGGAUAACGCAGCGAAAGUUGUGCUAAUACCGCAUACGAUCUACGGAUGAAAGCAGGGGAUCGCAAGACCUUGCGUUAUACGAGCGGCCGAUGUCGGAUUAGCUAGUUGGUAGGGUAAAGGCCUACCAAGGCAACGAUCCGUAGCGGGUCUGAGAGGAUGAUCCGCCACACUGGGACUGAGACACGGCCCAGACUCCUACGGGAGGCAGCAGUGGGGAAUAUUGGACAAUGGGCGAAAGCCUGAUCCAGCCAUGCCGCGUGAGUGAUGACGGCCUUAGGGUUGUAAAGCUCUUUCGCCAGGGACGAUAAUGACGGUACCUGGAUAAGAAGCCCCGGCUAACUUCGUG